UCCCUGAUGGCUCAAUGGUAAAGAAUCUGCCUGCAAUGCAGGAGACCUGGGUUCGAUCCCUGGGUUGGGAA
rnacentral:tRNA from 1 species